AAUUAAUUGCAAACAUGCAGGUUGUCUGCAGUCCUGCUUUUCUCAGGCAUUCUUCCUGUUGGUCCUGGAGAAUCAGGAGCUGGGAUGGCAGAUGAGAUAUGGACAAAGUGUUGUCACCCUCGUGAGUGUGUUCGCAGACCCAGCACCUCCUUGUGGCUUUGGGCUAUUAACAAAGGGGCUCUCUGGAACACCGCUGUCCUGUAUGGCAAACCUGUUUACAGGGGUUAUGUGCUGCCUGGUGAAGUUCAUGUCUGAGCAACCCCUCUUCUGAAGGAGACUCCAAAAAAACAGUUUGUUUCUGGCAGCUGCCCCUUUCUGAAGUUGUGUCUUCUGGGUCAGAGAUGAAAGGAGCUGGCUGUAACCCUGUGCAACUGAAACCCUUUUUCCGAAGGUACAGUAAAAUUUUAGCUGUUGAAAUGCAGUUUUGCCUGCUCAGUAAAGCCUAAGAAUUCAUAUUUUUGC
rnacentral:lncRNA from 1 species